AACGCGAAGAACCUUACCUGGGCUCGAACGGCUUACGACCGGGGUGGAAACACCCUCUCCCCUUAAAAGGCGUGAGUCGAGGUGCUGCAUGGCUGUCGUCAGCUCGUGUCGUGAGAUGUUGGGUUAAGUCCCGCAACGAGCGCAACCCUUGUCCUGUGUUGGCAUGCCGCAAGGCGCAACUCGCAGGAGACCGCCAGCGAUAAGCUGGAGGAAGGUGGGGAUGACGUCAAGUCAUCAUGGCCUUUAUGUCCAGGGCCACACACGUGCUACAAUGGGCGGUACAAAGCGCUGCCAACCCGCGAGGGGGAGCUAAUCGCCAAAAACCGUCCUCAGUUCGGAUCGCAGGCUGCAACUCGCCUGCGUGAAGCUGGAAUCGCUAGUAAUGCUAUAUCAGAACGAUAGCGUGAAUACGUUCCCGGGCCUUGUA
rnacentral:rRNA from 1 species